CAAGAGAAAGCCCACGUGAAGAGAGGACAAAGGAGGAAAAGCUGUCAUUGUGCAGGAAACUCUCUAUCACAGCUGCCAGUGAAGUCGGGUGGGCCAAGGGGACAUGGAGAGAGACAUCUGCCUCAGCUGAUAAAUUUCCCAAGGGAGUAGAAAAUGUUAAAAGAAGAACUCAAUAAAGACAAGACCCAGUAAAGGCAAGACUCAAUAAAGGAACUACAUUUCCCAGGAUCCCUUGAUAAAUCGCUUCCAGGUAUGUUUGACCAAUGGAAGACCCUGAUAGAACACCAGAGUAUGGAAGUAAGGAAUCAUCAAGGCAUUUCUCUCACUCCUUCCUCAGGCAGCAUCUGCAAUAGUGGCUAUGUUUCCUCCGUGUCCCCAGCUCUCACUAAACAGUUCCUUCCUUCAUGAUCCAAGCACCUUGCCGUGAUCCUAGCUUAUAAGCAGUACCAGUAUCAGCCUCUGGUAACACUACCUCCUCCUGUUGUCCCUCUAUCGCUAGAAGUGGCAGCAGCUGUGUAAUGUUGCUAAUACGUGGUUUGUCUAAUUGUCUACUAUUUGACUUCUCAACCCUUCUAUCAACUUGUAUAAGUAAA